GGAAGGAGGAAGUAAACAAGUGCAGAAUGGUGGGCAGCUCGCAGUGGCUUUGGUGAAGAGGAAGAGAGGGGGAUGAAGAGAGGGUGAGAGAGAGAGAGAGAGAGAGAGGGAGAGAGAGAGAGAGAGAGAGUGGGACGGUCCUGCUGACGAGAGAGAGAAAGAGAUGAAAGGAUCGAUAAACAGAUGAAGUGAUAGAGGUGAAGGAGGGGGAGAGCUUCUUGCCACUGGAAAGUGCUGGGGCUGCUGGAAAGAGUCGCUCACGAGCCGUGCGGUGAAACUCACUCACUCGCUCGCUCACUCACUAUCUGCACUGUACAUCACUGUCACAUUCAGCAGUGCCACCGCACACGCACAGCCCGGUUAUAAACAGCACGGGUGAGGAUGCGUGUUCCGUCUUUAACUUCGUCUUUCCACUCUCACUCUCUCUGAGCUGUGACGCAUCUCCUCCGGUGCACACUUUGCGGGUCAGAAAAGAAAAACUGACCACAGCCUUUUAAAGCCAUUUUGACACCUCGACACUUUUCCUCUAGCUGAACAGCCGAGAGGUUCACUUCUGUGGCUUUGCAAUUGAACCAUAAAGCUAAUGAAGAUGUCUUCUAUAAAAAUGAACAAAAGUCAAGAAAAUUCAGAUCCAGGCUUCCAGACAGCUGCUACCACCGCCAUGCUUCUACGUUUACUUUAAGAGCUCUACUAACCAUAUGGGAGCACUUUGUAGCUCUUCAAUGGUCAGGACCCCCACAGGACAACCACAGAACAGCAGACAGGUUGCCCGUCUGGCUGUGCGUAGUGCAGGUCAAAGGUCAGACCGGUGGACAGACAGCAGCGGGGUCGAGGCGGGCUGGAGCCGCGUAUGUCAACAGGAUUGGAGGUCAUUAUGUUGCCUCGACAACAAAAUGUCUCAGUUUCCAUGGAAACACCAUCCUCAUCAGGCUAUACAGCAUGACGGCUGUGAAAGGCUGUGUUUUGUUUAAGGCCUUAUUAACCCCCCCAAAACCUGCUGGUCAGCACAAGCUGUGAAAUCACUGGACAUUGCUCUGCUCUGUGAUUGGACACUGGGCUGCGUUGCCAAGCAACAGUAGUGAAAGGUCUCUGGUGUGCGUUGAUGUGAGUAUGUGUGUGUAUAUAUACAAUACUGUGCAAAAUCAGAGACCACCUUUCAUUCAUUUCAUUUGCAGUCAAAACAACCAUUAAACACCAGCUAUUCAUUUUUCAGGAGAUCUUUCUGAGGAGACUAGAUAUAAGACAACACACUUGCUCAAGGAAACAAAGUCAAAAGAGAAUAAGUGAGAAAAGCAGGACUUUCCAAAAAAUGAGGAAAAGAUCCAAAGUAAAUGGGACUCCUAACAACCAUCCGGAAGACCAAAACUGUCCCCAUCAAACGUCUGAAGGAAAGUAGAUGAAACAGACCUUCUCAAAUCAAACAAAGACGCUGAUGUUGUUCUCAGAACAAUGGACUGACCACCCCAGAGUCCUCAUCUCAACACCACUGAAUGGGUUUGGGAUUGUCUGGACUACGAGAAGCAGAAAGUACAACCAGUGGUCUCACUUUAUUUGGAUAGCCCACUAUACAUGUUCUGUUGAAACUCAGUUCUAAACAGUGGUGGGGUUAGGGUUAGGAUUUGGACCGGGGUUUGGGCUAUGACCGAAGUGAGGGUUGGAUUUAGGGUUUGGGUUGAGGUUAAGCUUAGGGAUUAGAGCCAAGGUUAGAGUUAAAGACAAUGAUGGUCAGUUUAGCACAGUCAUGUCAAACUGGGGACCUUCAGGGCCAAAACACUGCAGAGAUUAGCAUUUACAUUCACCUACCACUCAGUUCAGGAAGGCCUUGCCAAUCAGCUGAUGAGCUGAAUCAGGUGUGUUUAAUGAGGCAGUGUGUUGGAGUCUGCAGUGCUUUGGCCCGCGAGGACUGGAUCCUGACGCAUGUGAUUUAGUAGAUAUUUAGUUGAAUGUAACUUGAAAGUAAAUUAAGCGUCUACAAAGCAUCUACCCCUUAGUUUUGUGCAGUCACGUCUGGGGGUAGGGUGUCCUGACCGUUGUUGAGAGAGGGGUGGGGCGAAGUGUUUGAGCUACAUGGUCCUAAAAACAAAGGUUUUUCAGAGACACUCCAAACAGAGUGAUAUGAGAAAAACAUGAAAAAACGGCAAGACAACGGCUGAACAAGAAACCCACAAAUGUGAGAACCUUCUCUGUUAAAAAUGACAAUAACCAUUUUAUUAUCUUAUUUUAAUGUCAUUUCAAUGUAUUAUGGUCCUUUUCUUCAUAAUAAGCAUAAAAAUCGCAAGUAGUGUGCGGAUGUCUCGGUAGCUAGCUGGCUAAAUUUCCCGUUCCACUUUAAAUGGAGCAACAGUUACAUUCCAGCACCUCAGGCAUUGGAAAUGCUGUGCCAUUUAAGGUGGAACACAAAAUUAGAACGAGAAUCUGGUGCAUUUCUGACUUCAGCUUCACAUCACUGAAGAAUUAAGGGGGGGUGAUGAUAAAUAACUGCCCCCUCUUUGAAGGCGUAUGAUGCCCUAAAUGUAACUAAAGCCCAGCAGUGCGGAGCUGAACUUCACCCUCCUCUGCGGUCACUGCAGACGGGCAGGGUCGCCUACAGAGCAGUGCUAGUAGCUGAUAAAGUGAUGCUCUUUAUUUGAGUGUCCCAUUUCACAUGGAAGAUUUCAAUGACUACCCCUUGUAACUCAGUUCCAAGGGGCAAAGCGAUAUGAAAACAAGGGGUAGGGGUAAAAAUAAGAAAUGGUAUUGGGCCUAAGACUGAACUUUGCAGGGUUGGAAAAAUAUCCCUACAGAUUACUGUAAAAAAAUAGCAGGUCUCCUUAAAAGAAUGGAAGCUAUAAUAAUAAGUGCGCACAUACUAAAUGCUGAAAAACUGAUACUAUAUUUAGCUGUUGAAGCUUCUAUGAUUUUCCAUUAAAUAUGUUUCCAGCCUUUUUUUUUUCCUGACGCCGUUUUGACUGGAAAUGAAAUGAAUGAAGGGGGAGGGGGUCUCUGACUUUUGCAUGGCACUGUGUGCACGUCCUUUGUGAGAAUGCGUUUUCAUAUGUGCUGGAAAGCCUGUGAGAAUGACUUUGCGCAUACAUAAUGGAAUUUUACCUUUUCUUAUUGCAUUCAGUGAAGUGUGUGUGUGUGUGUGUGUGUGUGUGUGUGUGUAUGUGUGUGUGUGUGUGUGUGUGUGUGUGUGUGUGUGUGUGUGUGCCGGGGGAAUAGGUGGUUAUUGUUUCUGACACAGAGGCUCAUAUUUCUGUAUCGAUCGAUUUCUCUGAGUCCCGACACGACAAUAAUCACACGCGCACACACACACACACACACACGCACGCACACACACACAGGGCUGCCUCUAUCAGCGCUAUUAUUACUGCACUGAGAGUUUGAAAAGGGAAAUAAGAAUCGAGGAGAGAUGCGGAGUGGAAGAAAGGAGAAAACAAAAGAAAAUGAAAUGAAAUAAAGGAACAAAGGAGACUGAUAAAAGAGAAAGAAAUAAGAGGGAAAGAGGGAAAUGUGGAGGAAAAACACAGUUAAUAACGUUCGGUGGGCUUUAUUGCUUUGUCCUGACGCAGCUCUAGAAAAAAUGGAAUAUACCGUUAUUCUCCGUCAGUGCAUGUAGGAUACGCUGAUAUAUUUACAUCUACAUUGAGGUCAAUUUACGUAAUUGAAUCAGCUCAAUUUUGCAUAGGGCAAUACAUUUACAGUAAAUGUGCUGUAAUGAAUAACAUUAAAUGCACAUGGUAAAUAUGGUCAUUUUCCAUAUAAAGCAUAUAUUUGAAC
ensembl:lncRNA